UUCAAUUCUGGUCCUGGAGGGCUGCUAUCCAGCACGUUUUAGUGGUUUCUCUGCUCCAAUACACUUGAUUCAGUGGUUGAAUCACUUAUGCAGCAUCUCAUCAGGCUCUGCAAAAGCCUGUUAAUCACCUCCUGACUGAAAUCAGGUGUGUUGAUGCAGAGUUAAAACUAAAACCUGCUGGAUAGCGGACCUCCUGGCCCGGAAAUGAAUACCCCUGCUUUAUAAAAACGCAUUUAAUUGGAUAAGGAUCUAACGGUUUGGUUCUGACCAGCUGAGGGCAGAUCCAGCAUGGAAAAAGAGGACGUUCGGUCACCCGAGCGCAAUGAGGUCCAUGCUGAUUACACACCACGUCACCAAACAACACAGUGACUACCUGGAGCCCUAUAUACUGUACAGGCCCACUGACUGAUUACAAGACCGUAGACACCUGUGAUGCUAAUUAGUGGAAACACCCUAAAUUAGCAUGUCCCUUUGGUCACAUUAUUUUCUGUCUUUUCUAGGGGUACAAUCAUUUUUGUCCAAUUUAUUCUUCAAUAGAAGUUGAAUUGCAGUGACUUGGAUGGAACAGAUUUUACUGAGCAUGAUAAAGAAAUCCCUGAGCCUGAAACAUCUCAGCAGAUCUUUAUAGGUCACAUUUAUAGGAUUUACAACAGGAUGUUGGAGUUGAUUUUGGAGAUUCCUUUUUUCUCCAUGUCCAUUUCUCCUCUGUCAAUUUGGAUGGGCUUUGGAAAUGAGCUGCAGGAGAGAGAGCUUGCUCUUCCUCCAUUUACCACCACACCCCUUAAUGUCUCUGGUUUCAUCCUCAUCCCCAUUUAGUCUUGAGUCACAUCAAACUUAAUAACAUUAGGCUGAAUGUGACGGAUACUUGACCUUUUUAUUAGUCAUGGUAGAAAAUUCUGUCAAGACCACCAAGAAAAAAUAUCACAUCCUGCUCAAAAGUCAAAUUGAAAAGGCCUCCUUUGAAACUGUUUGGUUUUACUGGGUUAAUUGCAAAUUUAUUCAAAUAACAAAGAAAAAAUCUAUCUGUGCAACAAAUAUUUGCAAUCCAUCCAGCUGAUCGAAUGUUCCGCUUUUGUUGGAGCAAACAAAAGAACGCACAGGAAAAAAAUCAAGGCUUUUAAAGCCAAAAAUAGCAAUAAAGCAGUAGUUUUAUUGUAUUAUUGACUGUAAUGGAAAAUAGGCAGAGGAUAUUAAACAAAAUAGUCCUGUUCUGUUCUAUUUCCAAACAUUUGUUGGAGGGCCUCAGCAGAAAACAUCUGUUUGUGAUAUACAGUGCUAUGUGGUUUUAUAUGUUUUGGACACAUGCUGAAGUAAUAAAAAUGAUCCCUGGAA